UCUCCAUCUCAGCUCCUAUUUUCUUAGCUUAAGCCGUCUCAGUUCCGUCGUCUCAGCUCCCGUCGUCUCAGCUCUCCGUCUCCGUCAUCCUUAUAUGAGAAAUGUUUCCACUCUUCUGCUGCUUCAAGUGAAAGUUAAUUUCUCUUUUUCAUAUAUGUUCAUCUCCUCUAGAAUAUUGUGCUAUGGUUUUGUGAUCUCUUGAAAGGUGUGGAAGUGGUAUUUGCAAAAGAAAAAUAUUUUUUUUUCAUUUUAGCUGAAAUUCUUACCAUUUGAGAUUGAGUUUUAUUUGGUGAUUCUUCUUAUAAAAUAUAUUUAUGUUCAUCUACUCUAUACGGAUAAAUAGCUAACCCAACUAGAAGCUAUCUCAAUUAAGCUGCGAAUGAUAUGUGGUUGAUGUUGAUUAAUUGAUUGAUGAACCUUCAUGUUUCAGCCCUUUUCUUGCUUUCUCUCUUCGAGUUGAGUUGUUCCAUUCCAUAGUGUAGUGUAAUUUUUAUCUCCAUAUUUUUGAAUUGAUGACAACUAAUGUGUGCAAAAAAAUACUGAGAGUUUUUUCCGAUGAAAUAUCUUAUGAAUCAUGUUAAAUGGACUCAUUCACAUGAUAUAUCCAAUAUGUAUGUAAAAGCAUACACAAGGGAAAAAUAUCACACUAUGAAAAAAAAUUUACUUGCUUUUUUUUGUGAUAGUCAUUUGAUACUCUUCUUUCAUUCUUAUAAAACAUGAUAUUAUGUGGGUAUGACUGUAUUUUGUUCUGAUAUUGGAUAAGUAUCUCCAUGCCUAUUGUGUUUGUAGUUCAACAUCACUGAAAGUUUCUUUAUUUAGACAUGGUAGUACAUUUUUUAGGAAGCCAACUACACUCUUAUAUCUUCUUAUAGAUAUGGAUCGAGGCAGAGCUCAUGGGAAGUUCUUUGGUAGGAGUAGUCCUGAGAUUCAUGUAAGCAUGCCAACUAUUCCUAUGCCACUAUAGUUUCUCCUCAACAAGGUGGUACCCCAACUGUUGAAACAUUAGGUCAAAGUAACAUCCCAACUAUCUCAGAGGCACCUCCAAUUACCCCAAAAUAAUGUCUUCAAAUUGACACAACUUGGAACCUUCUAUAAUAUUCUCUAGUUUCAUAACCAAGUCUUUCAGGAACGAUGUUGAUCCUAUAGAGUCAAUUGGAAAAGUGUUUCAAACAAUGUAAAAGAUGGUUACUUUGGAGAAUUUAAGAAAAAAUCGAUUGGGACAUUUUUAUUAGUGAAAGUGAAGUGAAGAGACAUUGGUUGGUCAAGGCGGUCGUAAAAUACAGAAAUUUUAUCUCUAAAAUACAAUGGGGAGGAGUUAGGCCAGGUUUCGUACCUGAGCAUUUUUGGGAAAAAUGGACACAACUUUGGGGAAGUGAGGAGUCUAUUAAAAAGUUAUAAACAAAUGCAAAGAAUCGUUGUGAUAGUCAUGAAGUUGCUGCUGGGACUCACACAGGUGGCGCUAUCUCAAUUGGAGAACAUCACAAUAAACUUGGCAAUUGAAAUGGUUCAAGAUCUAACAUUAAGUGACUUACAUUUGCACGCACAUCCAUAUGCAUGUUCAUGAUGGAAAAUUUUUUGUUGGUGAACACUCUCGAAUUGUCCAUGUUUAUCAUAAUCCUCUGCAGACUCUUGCAAAGUAGACUUCAUGUAAUCUUGGUUCUUGGCAUCCUCUUUUCUUUUUCAUUUCUUUCUCAAUUUUCUUCCCUAUUUUCUUGUUAGUUUAUUGAUUAAAUUAUCAGGAAAUGGAACAAACUGUAGUGUCACUGUCAUGUAAUACAGAAAAUAUA